GCUAGGCAUGGUGGUGCGUGCCUGUAAUCCCAACUACUUGGGAGGCUGAGGCAGGAGAAUUGCUUGAACCCGGGAGGCGGAGGUUGCAGUGAGCUGAGAUCACACUGCUACAUCCCAGCCUGGGCGACAGGGCAAGAUUCUGUCUCAA
ensembl:misc_RNA Metazoa_SRP Metazoan signal recognition particle RNA